UCUGUCUGGUGUUGAUUUGAUUUGAAGAUUUAAUGCAAUUUGAAAUGCAUGUAUUAUUACAGAUCCUAAAAAUUAUUCAGAUUCAAAGAAAAUUGAAUAACAAUAUUGUUUCAAAUCAGUCAGAAAUCAGUCAAGAAUAUUUGAAUCCAUUUUCUCAGUUCAGUUUUACCACAGUUUUGCCUUUGUAUGCAAAUUACAUGAUUUAGGGAGGGUCAGUGUAACAAACUCUAAAAGUACUUGCUAUAAAACCAAGUUCUCCGUCAUUGCUUGUGUCCUGCAGCUGCAGUGCAACUGAAUAUCAUUAUCAUUAUCAUUAUCAUAUUUUACAGUUUUGGGGUGAUAAUGGAAAUGCUACUGUAUGGAGUUCUGCUGUUGAUUAUUUCAUGUGUUAGUGGUCAGUCUUUGACCUCCUCAGAUUUUGAGGUGAAAAGACCAGGAGAAUCAGUCACUCUGUCCUGCAGUGUGUCUGGAAUCUCAAUGAGCAGCUACUACAUGCACUGGAUCCGUCAGAAACCAGGGAGAGGACUGGAGUGGAUUGGGUAUAUAGAUAGUGGCACAACUGCAUAUUAUGCUCAGUCUCUACAAGGCCAGUUCUCCAUCACAAAAGACACCAGCAAAAACAUGCUGUAUUUAGAGGUGAAAAGCCUGAAGACUGAAGACACGGCUGUUUAUUACUGUGCAAGAGAUUCACAGUUACACAAAAGACUGCAGGGCUGAACAAAAACUAUU